rnacentral:rRNA from 1 species
UGAGUACGAGAUGCUACGGCAUCGAAGCAGUCUAUGUCAUACUUCCAAGAAAAGCUUGCAAUGUCAUAAACAAAUAAUGCCUGUACCAUAACCGACACAGGUGGGUAGGUAGAGUAUACUAAGGGGCGCGAGAUAACUCUCUCUAAGGAACUCGGCAAAAUGACUCCGUAACUUCGGGAGAAGGAGUGCCUUAUUUUUAUAAGGUUGCAAUAACAAGAUCCAAGCAACUGUUUACCAAAAACACAGGUCUCCGCUAAGUCGUAAGACGAUGUAUGGGGGCUGACGCCUGCCCAGUGCCAGAAGGUUAAAGAAGUUGGUUAGCAUUAGCGAAGCUGAUAACUGAAGCCCUGGUGAACGGCGGCCGUAACAAUAACGGUCCUAAGGUAGCGAAAUUCCUUGUCGGGUAAGUUCCGACCCGCACGAAAGGCGUAAUGAUUUGGAUACUGUCUCGGAGAGGGGCUCGGUGAAAUAGACUUGCCUGUGAAGAUGCGGACUACCUGCACCUGGACAGAAAGACCCUAUGAAGCUUUACUGUAACUUGAGAUUGAAAUUGGACUUUAUCUGCGCAGUAUAGGUGGGAGACGUUGAAAAUAUUCUUGCGGGAAUAUUGGAGUCAUCAGUGAGAUACCACUCUUAUAAUGUUAGAUUUCUAACUUUGUAUCAUUAUCUGGUCAAAGAACAGUUUCAGGCGGGCAGUUUGACUGGGGCGGUCGCCUCCCAAACGGUAACGGAGGCGCACAAAGGUUUCCUCUGAACGUGUAGAAAUCGUAUCUAGAGUGUAAAGGCAUAAGGAAGCUUGACUGUGAGACCUACAAGUCGAGCAGGGACGAAAGUCGGUCUUAGUGAUCUGACGGUGCUGAGUGGAAAGGCCGUUACUCAACGGAUAAAAGUUACUCUAGGAUAACAGGCUGAUCUCCCCCAAGAGUUCACAUCGACGGGGAGGUUUGGCACCUCGAUGACGGCUCAUCGCAUCCUGGGGCGGUAGUACGUCCCAAGGGUUGGGCUGUUCGCCCAUGAAAGCGGUACGCGAGCUGGGUUCAGAACGUCGUGAGACAGUUCGGUCCAUAUCCGGUGUAGGCGUUAGAAUAUUGAGAGGAGCCUUCUUUAGUACGAGAGGACCGAGAAGGACAUACCUCUGGUGUACCAGUUAUCGUGCCAACGGUGAACGCUGGGUAGCCAUGUAUGGAGAGGAUAACCGCUGAAAGCAUCUAAGUGGGAAGCCCACCUCAAGAUAAGCAUUCUC